CCAAAGUUGGGCCUGAGUCUUGGGUCGAGCGUUGUUGUAGGCCAGGUAGGCGGCGGCGGCUGAAGCAAACUGCCCGAGGCCGAUGAACACAGAG
rnacentral:SRP_RNA from 11 species